GAGAGAGAAAGUAUGGUGUUCAAAACCGAUUCAAAAGUCGAACAGGUUUGCGAUGGAGCGUGUGAGCGAGCAAGAUGAAACAUCAUUGCAGAGCAAAUACUUGAGUCGAAUGUGCAGAGGACGGAUCCCGCGAACACAGGCCAGCGUGGUGUGCGCAAAUUCAACUUGAGAGCUUGCGUGUGUGACUUUGCGCGAGCAGAACUGCAUUUCCGCACCUAGUAAAUUAAUUUGAGAGCAGAGAUUUUUGUACAUGUCAAACUCUUACUACAUGUCAAGACCCACAACAAAUGUCGAGUUUGCGCUCCAAAUUUCAUACCAGGGAGAAUUCUAGCCAAUGAACAUAGUCUGUAGCAGUCUACUGAAUUGCAAUUGGUCAGGUUUUUGUAAUCACGGCAUGAUUGCUCUCUAAAAUGCUUUUUACCAUAUAGAUGGAAGGGGACGGUGAAAGCCGACGCCGUAACGGAUCUCGUCCUCCCCUUAUGAAGAGGAGUAGCGAGAAGGAUCGGAGGACCAAUGCGCAGCGUGGUCCACUGGCACUAAUAUGUUCUCUGCUCAGCUGACAGAGACAAGAGAUACAGGAAUCCAUUAUGUUCCAAGUAGGUUACCUUGGCACUCCUGUAGGCACAGCACUCUCCCUCGGACUUCCUGCAGGAGACAGGUCAGUGUGUGUAGAAAGAACACAUUUGACCAAGUGGGGUCAGGCUUCUACUUCAUCACCCUGGCCCACUACGCCAAUGAGGCAGAGGAUGCCAAGUUUGGACCAGUGAGUCACCAACUCAUCGUAUGCCUUACACAACUCAGCACAUAUGUAUUGCUCCACCUUCCUCAAACGAUUAUGCUGAUGCUCCACUGUAAGGAACCUGGAGAUCUUCAUUGGUUCUGAGGGAGGUGACGUGGCCACAAACAGUACUUGGAACACCUUCCAGCGCUACUGCUGUCUGGAGAACAGCCAGAGGGUGGUCAAGACACCUGCUGUAACUCCAUCUUUAGUGUGUCAGCUCUGCCGCACCUGGGAGAUAAAGGUAUGGCACCACACUCCCAACAGUCAUGUAUGCUUAAACAUACUUGAAUGUUCAUUUAUGUGCAAUCAGCAGUUGAAACAAUAACAAAACGUUCUCCCCGCCCUGUUUCGGUAAAAAGCUGAGGGAUUCAAAUUCAUAGACAGAGCUACGGAUGCAAGGACUGACCAUCUCGCCUCCUUCUAAAACCCCAUUAGAGGAGACGACCCAAGUUCCUCACCUCAGACCUCCUCCAAUGGGUUAGGAGAAGGAUGCAAGUUGAGAGAAAGUGAGGAGUUGAGCAGAGAUUAAUUGGGACAGAGCUCAUGUCAUUGUUUUGGGUGGAAACUUAUGUUGAAUGGUACAUUUAUUCUGUUUGCACUUAUAUCUUUGUUCUACUUGUCCUCUUUCCACAGAUGACUCUAGCUUCCUGAUAACAUCUGACUUGAUGGGACUCCUGUAUUACUGACUAUAUAAAAUAAAAUGUCCAAUGCCAAGUGGAAAUCAUUUCAGAUUCUGUAAUUGAUAGACAAUGGUAGUUCCAAUCUGACAAUUUCUAUAAAACAAAUAUAUUUUCCUUGGUGCAAUGUUUGGUGAAUGCAUGGUGUUGUUUUUUCCUCAGUACUCCUUUGAAUGCCGUGUGUACUGAUUUAGUUCUAAAUGGCCAUCAUCAAGUCCAUCCUCACCUCCUGCUUCACUGCAACAUAUUGUACAGUCUGCUGACUCCAGGGCAAGGAAGCGUGCAGGAAAGAUCAUUGCUGACCCCUUCCACCCCCUCUUCUCCCCUCUGGCAAACGGUUCAGGUCAAUCAUGACCAAAACCUCCCGCCACCUGAACAGUUUGUUCCCCCGUGCCGUGGUCCUCACCAACUGGCCACCUGGUACACGAUGAUCCUCUCAUCCAUGGACAUCGCAUUCUGCACUAUUCAUACACAGACUUUGCACCCUGCACUAUCAUCCCAAAACUACACAUUGCGCUUUGCACUAUCUGCACAGCUCAUACAUGCAUAGUUUAUGUAUGUGGAUCUGUGUCAAUUCUGUAUCUAUAUAUUAUUUUUUUUGUAUUCCGUUUAUCGUCUGUCUGUACAUUCUGUUUAUUGUGGCAGCACCAUUUCACAGAGUCAAAUUCCUGUACAUGUGAAUAAAGCUGGUUUAUCA